AGACAGCAGGACGGUGGUCA
rnacentral:snRNA from 1 species